rnacentral:rRNA from 1 species
AACGAACGCUGGCGGCAGGUCUUAGGCAUGCAAGUCGAACGGGUGUAGCAAUACAUCAGUGGCGCACGAGUGAGUAACGCGUGGGAAGCUGCCCUUCACUGGGGAAUAACGUUUGGAAACGAACGCUAAUACCGCAUACGCCGGAAACGGGAAAGAUUUAUCGGUGAAGGAUGCGCCCGCGUUGGAUUAGCUUGUUGGUGGGGUAACGGCCUACCAAGGCGAUGAUCCAUAGCUGGUCUGAGAGGACGAUCAGCCACGCUGGAACUGAGACACGGUCCAGACUCCUACGGGAGGCAGCAGCUAAGAAUAUUGGGCAAUGGAGGAAACUCUGACCCAGCCAUGCCGCGUGAAUGAAGAAGGCCUUCGGGUUGUAAAGUUCUUUUAGUCGUGAAGAUGAUGACAGUAGCGACAGAAAAAGCACCGGCUAACUUCGUGCCAGCAGCCGCGGUAA